rnacentral:rRNA from 1 species
AGUCGAGCGGUAACAGGAAUUAGCUUGCUAAUUUGCUGACGAGCGGCGGACGGGUGAGUAACGCGUAGGAAUCUGCCUGGUAGUGGGGGACAACAUGUGGAAACGCAUGCUAAUACCGCAUACGCCCUACGGGGGAAAGGAGGGGAUCUUCGGACCUUUCGCUAUCAGAUGAGCCUGCGUGAGAUUAGCUAGUUGGUGGGGUAAAGGCUCACCAAGGCGACGAUCUCUAGCUGGUCUGAGAGGAUGAUCAGCCACACUGGGACUGAGACACGGCCCAGACUCCUACGGGAGGCAGCAGUGGGGAAUAUUGGACAAUGGGCGCAAGCCUGAUCCAGCCAUGCCGCGUGUGUGAAGAAGGCCUUCGGGUUGUAAAGCACUUUCAGAAGUGAGGAGGGGUGUG